CCUACGGGUGGCAGCAGUGGGGAAUAUUGGGCAAUGGGCGCAAGCCUGACCCAGCAAUGCCGCGUGAAGGAAGAAGGCUUUCGGGUUGUAAACUUCUUUGACAGGGGAAGAGCAGAAGACGGUACCCUGAAAACAAGCCACGGCUAACUACGUGCCAGCAGCCGCGGUAAUACGUAGGUGGCGAGCGUUAUCCGGAAUGAGUGGGCGUAAAGGGUGCGUAGGCGGCCUGCUAAGUCUGGAGUGAAAGGUACCGGCUCAACCGGUACAGGCUCUGGAAACUGGCGGGCUAGAGAGCAGGAGAGGGAGGUGGAACUCCAUGUGUAGCGGUAAAAUGCGUAGAUAUAUGGAAGAACACCAGUGGCGAAGGCGGCCGCCUGGCCUGUUACUGACGCUGAGGCACGAAAGCGUGGGGAGCAAAUAGGAUUAGAUACCCGAGUAGUC
rnacentral:rRNA from 1 species